CAGCCGCCGCGGUAAUACGUAGGUCCCGAGCGUUGUCCGGAUUUAUUGGGCGUAAAGCGAGCGCAGGCGGUUAGAUAAGUCUGAAGUUAAAGGCUGUGGCUUAACCAUAGUACGCUUUGGAAACUGUUUAACUUGAGUGCAAGAGGGGAGAGUGGAAUUCCAUGUGUAGCGGUGAAAUGCGUAGAUAUAUGGAGGAACACCGGUGGCGAAAGCGGCUCUCUGGCUUGUAACUGACGCUGAGGCUCGAAAGCGUGGGGAGCAAACAGGAUUAGAGACCCCUGUAGUCCCUGUCUCUUAUACC
rnacentral:rRNA from 1 species